GGGGACCCUUUGGCAGCCGAGGAGGAGGAAGAGAAGGCAGCCGAGGAGCCCACGGCGCAGGUGCCGGUCGCCGGCGGUCGCGCGAGCCAGGAGAAUGUGGUACUAAGAGAUAAGUAUGAAUCUGUGGCUCAAAGUUCCCGGCAGAAGGAGAAUGAAGAAACAGUAUUAGCUCAGGAGAAAUCACUACAGCAGCAGAAUGAUGAAGAUAAAAACAAAACAGCAGAUGAAUCUGAUUGGGAAGUAGCAAAGACUACUGAAUCUAGAAAUGAAGUAAGUACUGUACAUCAGAACAAUCCUGCCUUGCCAUUUUGGCUUUCAUGCAGAUUUUGUGGCAUUGACAGAUGAUGUUAGAAAUUAAUCUUCUGUGUAGUUGUGCUCUGUUAAUAGCUAUGUGAUACAGGAGGAAAACAAAAUUAUGGGAGCAAUAAUUAGACUUACAAAGGAAUCAGCAAUUGUUUUCUCUGGCUGAACUCUCAAGAUUUUCUGUAUAUGUACACAUAGCCCCCAGGAAUAUGAUAGCAGGUUUUUGCUAGAUAUGCUUGCAAAGAUAAGAGAGAAAGAGCAGACUGGCAUUCUG
rnacentral:lncRNA from 1 species